rnacentral:lncRNA from 1 species
GCUCGGAUGUUCUGCAUACACCUGCAGCACCUUUGGAACAAAUGACACCAAGGUCAAGGCCAGCCUGGUGACCAUGCUUGCCAAGGGGAAGUAGUCUGUAAAUAUGUAAAUAGUGUCUUUCGA